AGAGAAGAGUGACGUCCCCAACCGCCGGCAGCCCUAGGGAGAGUGAGAAUUCUGGUUCAGAGAAGAGUCUAGAUGCCAAGUCUAAAGCCUUGAAAUUGAAGGAAAUUCCUUCGAUAAGAAGGCAUUGGCCAUGUUUCAGAAUUACUAUGAGGAGAAAGCAAAGCGUGAGCACAAGGGCAAACAUUUUUUUUUAGUUACAACUUACUGCAUAAAAUGAAAUUUCAUUCUGGUCAUAGAGGGAAGGCACAAGGAGUGGGACAGAAACGGAAUUUCUAGUUGGACAAGCAAGACUAUCUAUUCAUUGCAGACUGCUCAGCUUCCCAUGCAUACAGAUCUCCAAAAAAUUGGAUAAGCUCAACUCAUAUAUUGUCUGGGGAGGGAGGGAUACUGAGCAGCAGAGGCAGAUCCACUUGGUUAACUGGGGUGAAGUAUGUAAAACUAAGGCUAAUGGAGGUAAGGGAAUCAAAAAGGAGAGAUGAUCAAUAAGCUAUGUUAGCCAAGGGAAGCUGGAGAUUGAUGCGUGGUAACCAUGGUCGAUCAUAAGUGUAUUAUAAGCUAUUUCGCAAAAAAGUUUGUUUAUUCAUAUUAAAAACCUCAACUCUGUUCUAGCUCUUGGUCUGGUGUUGUUCAUGGAGCCAAUUUGUUGAUGAAAGGUCUCAAAUCGAGGAUUGGUGAAUGAUGCUAAAGAUUUGUUUCUGGAAUGAUAAUUGCUGCUCUUUGUAAUUUAAUGCACCAAACAGGUAUGUAAUGGCUUUGAUAAACCUUAUUUAUUCCAGCAUGGAAUG